AUUGAACGCUGGCGGCAUGCCUUACACAUGCAAGUCGAACGGCAGCAUGAUCUAGCUUGCUAGAUUGAUGGCGAGUGGCGAACGGGUGAGUAAUACAUCGGAACGUGCCCUGUAGUGGGGGAUAACUAGUCGAAAGAUUAGCUAAUACCGCAUACGACCUGAGGGUGAAAGUGGGGGACCGCAAGGCCUCAUGCUAUAGGAGCGGCCGAUGUCUGAUUAGCUAGUUGGUGAGGUAAAGGCUCACCAAGGCGACGAUCAGUAGCUGGUCUGAGAGGACGAUAAGCCCCACUGGGACUGGGACACGGCCCAGACUCCUACGGGAGGCCGCAGUGGGGAAUUUUGGACAAUGGGCGAAAGCCUGAUCCAGCAAUGCCGCGUGUGUGAAGAAGGCCUUCGGGUUGUAAAGCACUUUUGUCCGGAAAGAAAUGGCUCUGGUUAAUACCUGGGGUCGAUGACGGUACCGGAAGAAUAAGGACCGGCUAACUACGUG
rnacentral:rRNA from 1 species